AGUGAACGCUGGCGGUAGGCCUAACACAUGCAAGUCGAACGGCAGCACAGUAAGAGCUUGCUCUUACGGGUGGCGAGUGGCGGACGGGUGAGGAAUACAUCGGAAUCUACUUUUUCGUGGGGGAUAACGUAGGGAAACUUACGCUAAUACCGCAUACGACCUACGGGUGAAAGCAGGGGAUCUUCGGACCUUGCGCGAUUGAAUGAGCCGAUGUCGGAUUAGCUAGUUGGCGGGGUAAAGGCCCACCAAGGCGACGAUCCGUAGCUGGUCUGAGAGAAUGAUCGGCCACAUUGGAACUGAGACACGGUCCAGACUCCUACGAGAGGGAGCAGUGGGGAAUAUUGGACAGUGGGCGCAAGCCUGAUCCAGCCAUACCGCGUGGGUGAAGAAGGCCUUCGGGUUGUGAAGCCCUUUUGUUGGGAAAGAAAAGCAGCAGGUUAAUACCCCGCUGUUCUGACGGUACCCAAAGAAUAAGCACCGGCUAACUUCGUG
rnacentral:rRNA from 1 species